rnacentral:rRNA from 1 species
AGAGUUUGAUCAUGGCUCAGAAUCAACGCUGGCGGCGUGCCUAACACAUGCAAGUCGCACGAGAAAGUGGAGCAAUCCAUGAGUAAAGUGGCGCACGGGUGAGUAACACGUGAAUUAUCUACCUCCGAGUGGGGAAUAACUGAGAGAAAUCUUAGCUAAUACCGCAUAACACUUACGAGUCAAAGCAGCAAUGCGCUUGGAGAGGAGUUCGCGGCCGAUUAGUUAGUUGGCGGGGUAAUGGCCCACCAAGACGAUGAUCGGUAUCCGGCCUGAGAGGGCGCACGGACACACUGGAACUGAAACACGGUCCAGACUCCUACGGGAGGCAGCAGUGGGGAAUUUUGCGCAAUGGGGGAAACCCUGACGCAGCAACGCCGCGUGGAGGAUGAAAUAUCUUGGUAUGUAAACUCCUUUCGAUGGGGAAGAUUAUGACGGUACCCAUAGAAGAAGCCCCGGCUAACUUCGUGCCAGCAGCCGCGGUAAUACGAGGGGGGCAAGCGUUGUUCGGAUUUAUUGGGCGUAAAGGGUGCGUAGGCGGUUUGGCAAGUCUGAUGUGAAAUCUAUGGGCUCAACCCAUAGUCUGCAUCAGAAACUGCCGGGCUUGAGUAUGGGAGAGGUGAGUGGAAUUUCCGGUGUAGCGGUGAAAUGCGUAGAUAUCGGAAGGAACACCUGUGGCGAAAGCGGCUCACUGGACCAUAACUGACGCUGAUGCACGAAAGCUAGGGGAGCAAACAGGAUUAGAUACCCUGGUAGUCC